AUGCUCACAUUGGUAGCACAUAUACUAAAACUGGAAUGACACAGAGAAGAUUAGGAUGGCCCCUGUGCAUGGUUGACACAUAAAUUCAUAAAACGUUUUAUACAUUUUU